rnacentral:rRNA from 1 species
UACGAAGGGGGCUAGCGUUGCUCGGAAUCACUGGGCGUAAAGCGCACGUAGGCGGCUUUCUAAGUCAGGGGUGAAAUCCUGGAGCUCAACUCCAGAACUGCCUUUGAUACUGGAGAGCUUGAGUCCGGGAGAGGUGAGUGGAACUCCGAGUGUAGAGGUGAAAUUCGUAGAUAUUCGGAAGAACACCAGUGGCGAAGGCGGCUCACUGGCCCGGUACUGACGCUGAUGUGCGAAAGCGUGGGGAGCAACAGGAUUAA